UACGUAGGGGGCAAGCGUUGUCCGGAUUCAUUGGGCGUAAAGAGCGUGUAGGCGGCCAGGUAGGUCGGUUGUGAAAACUGGAGGCUCAACCUUCAGAGGUCGACCGAAACCAUCUGGCUAGAGUCCGGGAGAGGAGAGUGGAAUUCCUGGUGUAGCGGUGAAAUGCGCAGAUAUUCGCAAGAACACCAGUGGCGAAGGCGGCUCUCUAGUACGGUACUGACGCUGAGACGCGAAAGCGUGGGGAGCGAACAGG
rnacentral:rRNA from 1 species